UUGCUAAAUGUAUAAUAAUAAAUCUCAAAGCCAAGAAUUAGUUUAUGGAAACUGAAAUAAAGUAUGUACUGGAACAGAACCUAAGAAUAUAAUCAUACUAAUACAGUAAUAUGCUUAAUAUAAUUAUUGUGCAAAACACAGGGAGAAUUUCCAUAAAUAAUACUCUAAAGCACAGUGGAUAUUUUUUAACUGUCAUGUGAUUUAUCAUGUGAUUAUUGGGUCAUAUUAAUCCCAGAAUUUUUAUUUCUCCCAGGAGUGAACAUGGAAAGGUUUGCAGAAGAAGCAGAUGUUGUAAUAGUUGGUGCAGGCCCUGCAGGGCUCUCUGCAGCUGUUCGUCUAAAACAAUUGGCUGCGGCACAUGAAAAGGACAUCCGUGUGUGUCUAGUGGAGAAAGCUGCCCAGAUAGGAGCUCAUACUCUCUCAGGGGCUUGCCUUGAUCCAGGUGCUUUUAAAGAACUCUUCCCAGACUGGAAAGAGAAGGGGGCUCCACUUAACACUCCUGUAACAGAAGACAGAUUUGGAAUUUUAACAGAGAAAUAUAGAAUUCCUGUGCCAAUUCUUCCAGGUAAGGUAUAGUGAAUAUUCAUAGAACUAUGGAAUUCCAUAGCUGGAAGGAACUACAUUUCAUCUGGCGAAAUUUCCUCCUUUCACAGAUGAGAACUGAGGC
rnacentral:sRNA from 1 species